rnacentral:rRNA from 1 species
CAGUAGCCGCGGUAAAACGUAGGGGGCAAGCGUUAUCCGGAAUUACUGGGUGUAAAGGGAGCGUAGACGGUUAAACAAGUCUGAAGUGAAAUGCCGGGGCUCAACCCCGGAGCUGCUUUGGGAACUGUAGAACUGGAGUGUCGGAGGGGUAAGCGGAAUUCCCAGUGUAGCGGUGAAAUGCGUAGAUAUUGGGAGGAACACCGGCGGCGAAGGCGGCCUUCUGGGCCAUAACUGACGCUGAGGAGCGAAAGCUAGGGGAGCAAACAGGAUUAGAGACCCGAGUAGUCCCUGUCUCUUAUAC